CCUACGGGGUGCAGCAGUGAGGAAUAUUGGUCAAUGGGCGCGAGCCUGAACCAGCCAAGUCGCGUGAGGGAAGACGGUCCUAUGGAUUGUAAACCUCUUUUGUCGGGGAGCAAAAGACGCCACGCGUGGCGUUCCGAGAGUACCCGACGUACAAGCAUCGGCUAACUCCGUGCCAGCAGCCGCGGUAAUACGGAGGAUGCGAGCGUUAUCCGGAUUUAUUGGGUUUAAAGGGUGCGCAGGCGGAAGAUCAAGUCAGCGGUAAAAUUGAGAGGCUCAACCUCUUCGAGCCGUUGAAACUGGUGUUCUUGAGUGAGUGAGAAGUAUGCGGAAUGCGUGGUGUAGCGGUGAAAUGCAUAGAUAUCACGCAGAACUCCGAUUGCGAAGGCAGCAUACCGGCGCUCAACUGACGCUCAUGCACGAAAGUGUGGGUAUCGAACAGGAUUAGAUACCCCUGUAGUC
rnacentral:rRNA from 1 species